GUUGGACUCAAGCUGGUAUGGUUCAUACAAGCCAACAUCAUUAUGCAACAGCUGCAGUCAAUGUCGAGAGAAUACUGCUGCCCUGGCAGCUAGUAAGACAAAAUGAGGGAGAAGAUGAUGAAAUCAGGUAACACCUGUGGAUGAACUUUUCUUGGAACAGCUUCAUUAUGACUAUUUUUGUCUUGCAAGACUACCACUAGUGCAAUUAGCAAAUUAGUGUAGGCAACUCAGCCUGCAAUUCCAAUAGCAGCAUUUUAGCAAGCAGUUGUCUUGGUUCUCAGCAGCUAUCAGAAGCCCAACAGUAUGGUACUGGCAGGAUUUUGAGUGAAGAAGGACACACUGACAGCAUUCAAACUCGGAAGGAAAGAGUCCCCAUGAGGUGGGGAACUGAAGAAGGAAUGGACAUUUCAGCAACUGAAGCAAUCAAGGGAGGAAAAGGUGUGCUAAGACCUUGGUUUUCAGCUGUUGCAUUUCAGUGGGAAGCACAGGACAUAGGACAAGGAUCUUAAGAUUCAGUCUGCAGAACUGAAACAUAGCCUGUCAGUGCUCAGAGAUAAUCAGUUAAAGAAGAAAUGGGUUAUGCUUCAGUGCUCAAACUAUGUGGAUUAAAAAGAAAUUCUGACAUAGAGGAAAGCAUGCAAGUGAAGGCUACCCCGAGGCAGCCUUAAUGUGAAAGCUGACAAGCCAGUGCAUACUUUCUUGCUUACCAAUUUACUCUUUUCAACAAAACGGUGAACCGAUCAUGGCAACUCCCUCAUCACAGAGCAUGCAUGAAUAAUCCUGUGAAUAAAAUAAAAUGUGCCUUGCCCUCUGCA
rnacentral:lncRNA from 1 species